UACAGAGGGGGCAAGCGUUGUUCGGAAUUACUGGGCGUAAAGGGCGCGUAGGCGGCCUGCUAAGUCGAACGUGAAAUCCCCGGGCUCAACCCGGGAACUGCGUCCGAUACUGGCUGGCUUGAAUUCGGGAGAGGGAUGCGGAAUUCCAGGUGUAGCGGUGAAAUGCGUAGAGAUCGGGAGGAACACCCGUAGCGAAGGCGGCACUCUGGGCCGGUACUGACGCUGAGGAGCGAAAGCGUGGGGAGCAAACAGG
rnacentral:rRNA from 1 species